rnacentral:rRNA from 1 species
UUGAACUCGGCAAAAUGACUCCGUAACUUCGGGAGAAGGAGUGCCAGUAAGAUGGCCGCAGAGAAUUGGCCCAAGCAACUGUUUAGCAAAAACACAGGUCUAUGCAAAACCGAAAGGUGAGGUAUAUGGGCUGACGCCUGCCCGGUGCUGGAAGGUUAAGGGGAGAGGUUAGCGCAAGCGAAGCUUUGAACUUAAGCCCCAGUAAACGGCGGCCGUAACUAUAACGGUCCUAAGGUAGCGAAAUUCCUUGUCGGGUAAGUUCCGACCCGCACGAAGGGCGUAAUGAUUUGGGCACUGUCUCAACAAUGCACCCGGUGAAAUUGAAAUACCAGUGAAGAUGCUGGUUACCUGCGCCAGGACGGAAAGACCCCAUGGAGCUUUACUCCAGCUUGAUACUGGGAUUCGGUAUUGCAUGUACAGGAUAGGUGGGAGGCUAGGAAAUGGUAACGCCAGUUGCCAUGGAGCCAAUGUUGGGAUACCACCCUUGCAGUACUGGGUUUCUAACCAGCAGCCGUGAUCCGGCUGGGGGACAAUGUCAGGUGGGGAGUUUGACUGGGGCGGUCGCCUCCGAAAGGGUAUCGGAGGCGCUCAAAGGUUCCCUCAGAAUGGUUGGAAACCAUUCGAAGAGUGCAAAGGCAGAAGGGAGCUUGACUGCGACACCGACGGGUGGAGCAGGUACGAAAGUAGGACUUAGUGAUCCGGUGGUAUAAAGUGGGAUUGCCAUCGCUCAACGGAUAAAAGCUACCCUGGGAUAACAGGCUUAUCACUCCCAAGAGUUCACAUCGACGGAGUGGUUUGGCACCUUGAUGUCGGCUCAUCGCAUCCUGGGGCUGAAGUAGGUCCCAAGGGUUGGGCUGUUCGCCCAUUAAAGCGGUACGCGAGCUGGGUUCAGAACGUCGUGAGACAGUUCGGUCCCUAUCCGGCGUGGGCGUAAGAUAUUUGAGAGGAGCUGUCCUUAGUACGAGAGGACCGGGAUGGACUGGCCGCUGGUGUAUCUGUUGUCUUACCAAAGGCAUAGCAGAGUAGCCAAGCCGGGAAGGGAUAAACGCUGAAGGCAUCUAAGCGUGAAGCCCCCCUCAAGAUGAGAUAUCUCAUAACGUCAAGUUAGUAAGACCCCUUGAAGACGACGAGGUAGAUAGGGCAGAGGUGGAAGUGUGGUAACACAUGGAGCUGACUGUUACUAAUAGGUCGAGGGCAUAACCAA